rfam:Marvinbryantia formatexigens DSM 14469 B_formatexigens-1.0.1_Cont18.1, whole genome shotgun sequence.
CGGAGUGUGGCGUAGCUUGGUAGCGCGCUCGGCUGGGGGCCGAGAGGUCGCAAGUUCAAAUCUUGUCACUCCGA